rnacentral:rRNA from 1 species
GACGAACGCUGGCGGCGUGCUUAACACAUGCAAGUCGAACGGAAAGGCCCAGCUUGCUGUGUGCUCGCGUUGCGAACGGGUGAGUAACACGUGGGUGAUCUGCCCCUAACUUCGGGAUAAGCUUCGGCAACUGGGUCUAAUACCGGAUAGAACAAUCGUUUAGUGUCGGGUGUGGAAAGUUUUUUCGGUUAGGGAUGAGCCCGCGGCCUAUCAGCUUGUUGGUGGGGGAAUUGCCUACCAAGGCGUCGACGGGUAGCCGGCCUGGGAGGGUGGACGGCCACAAUGGGACUGAGAGACGGACCAGACGCCUACGUGAGGCAGCAGUGGGGAAUAUUGCACAAUGGGGGCAAGUCUGAGGCAGCGGCGCUGCGUGGGGGAUGACGGCCUUUGGGUUGUAAACCUCUGUCGACAGGGACGAAGCUGUGGUGACGGUACCUGUAGAAGAAGCACCGGCUAACUACGUG